UUGCACUGUGCACUAAGAACCUGGAA
rnacentral:piRNA from 1 species